ACGCCUGCCCAGUGACAAUUUGUUUAACGGCCGCGGUAUUCUGACCGUGCGAAGGUAGCGUAAUCACUUGUCUUUUAAAUAGAGACUAGUAUGAAUGGCAUCACGAGGACUUAACUGUCUCCCCCCUCCAAUCAGUGAAACUGAUCUCCACGUACAAAAGCGUGGAUAAACUCAUAAGACGAGAAGACCCUAUGGAGCUUAAAACCAAAAACCACCUAUUUAACCUACUAUAUUAAUAUAUUACUAAAAUAAUAGGCCUAGUUUAGGUUUUCAGUUGGGGUGACUGUGGAGAAAAAUUAAUCCUCCAUGUAGACUUAAGCUUAGAGCAACCGCUCCAUGCAUUAGCAAGCCUAACUUUACUUGAUCCAAUAUUUUGAUCAACGGACCAAGUUACCCUAGGGAUAACAGCGCAAUCCAUUUCAAGAGUUCAUAUCGACAAAUGGGUUUACGACCUCGAUGUUGGAUUAGGACAUCCAAGUGGUGCAGCCGCUACUAAGGGUUCGUUUGUUCAACGAUUAAAGUCCUACGUGAUCUGAUU
rnacentral:rRNA from 1 species